rnacentral:rRNA from 1 species
GAUGAACGCUGGCGGCGUGCCUAAUACAUGCAAGUCGAGCGAACAGAUGAGGAUCUUGCUCCUCUGACGUUAGCGGCGGACGGGGGAGUAACACGUGGAUAACCUACCUAUAAGACUGGGAUAACUUCGGGAAACCGGAGCUAAUACCGGAUAAUAUAUUGAACCGCAUGGUUCAAUAGUGAAAGACGGUUUUGCUGUCACUUUUAGAUGGAUCCGCGCCGCAGUAGCUAGUUGGUAAGGUAACGGCUUACCAAGGCAACGAUGCGUAGCCGACCUGAGAGGGUGAUCGGCCACACUGGAACUGAGACACGGUCCAGACUCCUACGGGAGGCAGCAGUAGGGAAUCUUCCGCAAUGGGCGAAAGCCUGACGGAGCAACGCCGCGUGAGUGAUGAAGGUCUUCGGAUCGUAAAACUAUGUUAUUAGGGAAGAACAAAUGUGUAAGUAACUAUGCACGUCUUGACGGUACCUAAUCAGAAAGCCACGGCUAACUACGUG